rnacentral:rRNA from 1 species
UCAAGAGAACGUGAAAUCGCUGGAGUGGAAUCGGAGAGAGUUGACGUAACUGGGUAACUAAGUUUCCUAAUGCCGCUUAAUUGUGGCUACAGGUGAUGUAUGUUGCCUAUAGUUGCGCUGACAGCACUGGCUAUGCGUUCUGACAUAUUUGUGUUGCCCACUUUUAAUGGUGGUGUCUUACAUAUGUUUAGGUCUGUCAUGGCUAGUGUUUUAUUCUGCAUGCAGAAUGUCAGUGUGAAAGUCGACCACCUCUCUGAC